rnacentral:rRNA from 1 species
UACGUAGGGCGCAAGCGUUGUCCGGAAUUAUUGGGCGUAAAGAGCUCGUAGGCGGCUUGUCACGUCGGGUGUGAAAGCCCGGGGCUUAACCCCGGGUCUGCAUUCGAUACGGGCUGGCUAGAGUGUGGUAGGGGAGAUCGGAAUUCCUGGUGUAGCGGUGAAAUGCGUAGAUAUCCGGAGGAACACCAGUGGCGAAGGCGACUUCCUGGCCUGUUCUUGACGCUGAGGCGCGAAAGCUGGGGGAGCAAACGGG